AUUGAACGCUGGCGGCAGGCCUAACACAUGCAAGUCGAGGGGCAGCAUGACAUAGCAAUAUGUUGAUGGCGACCGGCAGACGGGUGAGUAAUGCAUAAGAAUCUGCCCUUUGGAGUGGGAUAGCUCGAAGAAAUUCGGAUUAAUACCGCAUGAAGUCUACGGAUAAAAGGGGGCUCGCGAGGGCUCUUGCCAAGGGAUGAGCUUAUGUGAGAUUAGCUAGUUGGAGUGGUAAAGGCACACCAAGGCGAUGAUCUCUAGCCGAUUUUAGAGAAUGGUCGGCCACACUGGGACUGAGAUACGGCCCAGACUCCUACGGGAGGCAGCAGUGGGGAAUAUUGGACAAUGGGGGCAACCCUGAUCCAGCCAUGCCGUGUGUGUGAAGAAGGCCUUCGGGUUGUAAAGCACUUUUGACGGGGAGGAAGGAGUAGUGGUUAAUACCCAUUAUUUUCGACGUGAACCGUAGAAAAAGCACCGGCUAACUCCGUGCCAGCAGCCGCAGUAA
rnacentral:rRNA from 1 species